GGCUAUUACUGUUAGGUCUUUGUUUGUGCUGCUCCCGAUGGAGCCAGGCACAAUGGCCUAACAAGGAGGAGCCCUUCUAGACAUGUGGGGAGUAGUUGGAGCUGUCAUUGGCAAAAGGAGGUGAAGCUACUUCUUGCUUCUUUCCGGUCAGAUCUAGGUUUUCUGUUGUGGCAGACAGAGUGGCACCACCCUUAGUGGUUGUGCUAGUGGUUGGAUGCAAUGUGCUGAAUAGUCACCAUUCUGCCAUCAUCAUUAACAGGCCGACUCCACCGCAACUCCUUCGUAGUUCCCUAACAAAUAACACUAAUAUUGCAAUUAAUGGCACUUCACUAGCCACCUACACCUUUGCCGU
rnacentral:lncRNA from 1 species